GAAAAACAUGAAUAAUUGAGCCCAAAUCAGUUGACUUCAUCCCUCCCUACUCAGGUCAGGACUGCAAGUGGGUUCUUCUGAGGUUGAGCAGUAGAGAAGAAAAGGAAGACAUUUUAGCUGAGUUUUAGAUCAAUUCAUGUUUAUAUUUUUGGGGGAAAAAAUGUUGCUGGACCGAAGAUCAUGAUGAUACCAUGCUGACCCAACUGCUAGGGCUCUCGUUCUUGCUUCAUUCUGCAUAUUCGCAGCCCACCAAUGGGGAGGUGGUUUACCAGAACACCACCAUGUACGGUGUGGUCGGCAAAGCCGUUAUUCUGGAGUGCGGGUCCACCUUACCUGACUUUUACAUGUGGAGCUUCACUUGGCCCGGAACUGAAGCCUUCAAGGCUGUGGUGUACGACUUUGGCCAAGGUCCCAGGAUCCAGAAGUUGGCCCAAAUGCUCGGGCAAGUGACGGUCAUCUCAAAAAGUGCAGAUGUCAGCAUCGACAAGCUUCCCUUGUCUGCUCAGGGCCUCUACACCUGCCAGGCUUUUUAUGACUUUGUCAACGGGCCUGUAAUCUACUACUACUAUGUGCACCUCACAGUACGAGUUCCGCUGACAAAGCCGCACCUGCUGGUGAGCGAAGUGUCGCCAGUGGAGGGAUCGACAAUCUGGCUGCGAUGUAAUCUGGACAACGGGACGGGACCCAUCCACUAUGUGUGGCAACAAGAAAACCGUCACGGAAAUAUCUCGGCGUUGGCGCAGGGCAACACCAGCGUGGUCAACGUGACGGAGGUGAACCGAAACCACACGGGCUGGUACCGCUGUCUGGCCAGAAACGCGGUCAACAGUGAGCGUUCUGACCGGAUAUGGCUUGACAUUAUCUUUGGUCCAGAUAUUCCCCAGAUCGAUGUGACGCCGUACACGGUGACAGAGCGAGGUUACUCGGCCUUAGAGCGAGAGACGGUCUCUCUGCAGUGUCAAGCUCAGUCCAAUCCACCCAGCCAGUAUGUGUGGUUCUACAACAACUCACAGGUGUACAGCGGGCCGCAGUUCACCAUCACCAAGGUCCUUCGCAUGCACACGGGCGACUAUGCCUGCCUGGCGCAGAACACCUACCUCAACACGCGAUCCAAGAAAACCAUCAGCCUGACUGUCUACUAUCCGCCAGACGGCUCUCCUUCCUGCUCCAUGGAGCCGGCCGUGAAUCACACCUCUCUGAGACUGCGCUGCUCCUGGGCCGGCGGUUUUCCUCCCGCCGACGUUCAUUGGGGUGAAAACUCCGGACGCGUAGAAGGAGACGAUGUCGACAGCGGAAAUGGCGACAUCCUGCUGCUGUCUGAAGUUCUGGCAGGAAAUAGCAGCUUGUUUACGUGCACGGGGUCCCAUCUUGCACUAAAACAAGCAGUGGAGUGCAGCACACGUGCAUACCUCCCCCCUUCAGAACCGGUGUGUUUAGCCUACGUGAGGACCAACGAGCAGUAUCUGAUGUUGACCUGCUCCUGGGACGGAGGGGCACCCAACGCGUUGGUGUGGUGGGAGGGCCCAGGUGGCCAUGGCACCCCAAGAGAAGAGAACAACAACAUCCUCAUCAUUCGCUACGGCACUGCCCACAGUGGGAAACCGUACAUCUGUCAUGCAAAACAUCCACUUUUGGACCAAACUAAGACCUGCAGGCUCACAUUGGAGGCCCCCGUGUUGCUCACGCAGCGGAGGCUUGUGUCUGUGUACGAGGGGGCUGACGUGCAGCUCUCCUGCAACUUGAGGGCCAACUACCUUCCCACCAGUCACAUAUCGUGGUUCAACAAUCAUGGUUUGGAUGUCCGCGACACAUCCAAGUACAUGCUACUGAGAACGUCAGCAUGGGCCAACCUUACAGUGCGAGACACAGAUGAGACUCAGGAUAGCGGCGAGUACAGGUGCACCUCAAGCAACGCGGUGGGAGGAGCUGACCUAAACAUCACACUAGUGGUUAAAAAGCACCCCAUGCCACCCAAUGCCACCCUGAUCAGGGUGACGUACAUUGGCCGCAUGCGGAAUGAGGUGGAGCUGGAGUGGAAGAUGGAGGAGAACGCUCAACAAGGAUGGACCGGAUUCGUUGUGCGGCACAGAAGGGUGAACGAGCAGCCGGGGAGGAGGGCAAGUGGCAAUGACUCAAUGGAGGAAACACGGGAUGAGAGCAGCUCCUCCGUUUGGCACCAAAACAUCAUCCGAGAUCCUGAUGUCAGGAUUCACACUGUGAGCAGGCUGACACCCACCGCAAAGUACCAGUUCCAGGUCUCGCCUCUCAACCACAGAACAGUUGGGCACCCCUCUGCUGCGAAGAUGCCAGGUAGAUUAAAGAGCUAAUACAGAAUUAGAAUGACACCCGGGACAGCCCAAACAUCUGCCAAAGCCAAACAAUCUCAACUGUGCAUCUUCAUGGCCUGAAAUCAUUUUUUAGGAAGUGGAAUCAAUGGCAACCGGAUGACUUCUUGGUUGUUUUAGGCAGAGGUUCUCGAACUUUUCAUGACAGAGGAAAAAUUAUUUACAUUGGGUAGUGUAUAGUGUUUGACUGGAUUUGUGUGUGAAUUUAAAAAAUACAACUUUAUUCUUGAAAUAUUUACUCUUUUCUUCUGGGAAAGGACUAUACAGUCUGUGAAAAAAGAAACAAAAUCAGGAAAUAAAUGCAGGCCAUAAGAUGGACCCUUGAAAGAUAAACUGUGCAGAGCAAUAGGUUUACAGUGGACCCGAGCAAUAAGGACCAGGCCUGACCUGCACUUAUUAUAAUUGCCAUAAUAUGAAGAAAAAAAAAGUCCUGAAAAAAGCAAAUGAGCAGCAAAUAGUCAAAAAGCAUUUUCUCUGAGAAGAGGAUAGUGUAAAAAUAACUAAAUAAUUGGAGAAAUCGAGAAAAUAAUAUGGCCAAUAAGUGAGGGGUUCCGUAUAUACUAGGGGAUCCAUUCUCCCCCAAAAAUCCAUGAAUAGGUGAAUAUGCAUAUGGGCACCGCCCACCAAAUGAAAACUCCUAAAACAACCAAGAUUUCUGCUUGCCUUAUGAUUACCUGGAUGGCUAUUUACCUCCACAAAUGUUUGAAGAUUGCCUCAUGUUGCAAUUUUGGGCAGUUGAAACAUUCCUGAUCCAGGGCAAAAUUGAAUGUUUCUCAAGAAAAGUUGCUUGAAAAUCGAGUUUGCAAUCUCACCCACAGUGCCAAUGAAAACAUUGACUUUUGGCAAAGGUAGUAAAUGUGUCACCUUUUCCAAAAAGUGAGCGCGGAUGCCAUUAAUAAAACUGUGAUUGAUUACUUCAUCUGGUAUUCACAUGCUAUGUUUUUUCUUUUUCUGCUUUAGGUGAACGACUCCUAAAUCCCACACAAACAAACACACAAUACUCGCUUUCUGUUUGCUUUUUUCCCCAUUCUCCUUUUCAUUUCAUCUCACUUUUUGUGUGUGUUCUUUCUUCAAAGCCACAUUUAACAUUCUAACUUUGUCAGCCGAGCCGCGCGCCAACAACUACCCAGCUGUGAUCGGAGCAGCCAUCGGCGGGAUGCUCUUUGCGGCCUUCGCCACAGCGCUGCUGCUCAUAUUCAUUUUCCGCAACCACGAC